rnacentral:rRNA from 1 species
GAUGAACGCUAGCGGGAGGCUUAAUACAUGCAAGUCGAGGGGUAACAUGAGAGCUUGCUCUUGAUGACGACCGGCGCACGGGUGAGUAACGCGUACACGACCUACCUUCAAGUGGGGGAUAGCCUAUGGAAACGUAGAUUAAUACCCCAUGUGAUUACUAUUGUAAGAAUUGUAAUUAAAGUUCCGGCGCUUGAAGAUGGGUGUGCGUCCCAUUAGUUAGUUGGUAAGGUAACGGCUUACCAAGACGAUGAUGGGUAGGGGGCGUGAGAGCGUGGCCCCCCACACGGGUACUGAGACACGGACCCGACUCCUACGGGAGGCAGCAGUAAGGAAUAUUGGACAAUGGAGGCAACUCUGAUCCAGCCAUCCCGCGUGCAGGAUGACGGCCCUAUGGGUUGUAAACUGCUUUUGUAUGGGAAGAAUGGCAUCGAUUUAUCGGUGUUUGACGGUACCAUAAGAAUAAGCACCGGCUAACUCCG